GGAGCUUGCUCCGGAUCUCUUAGUGGCGAACGGGUGAGUAACGCGUGGGAAUCUACCUUAAAGUGGGGAAUAACUAUUGGAAACGAUAGCUAAUACCGCAUAAUCCCUAAGGGGCAAAGGCUUCGGCCGCUUUUAGAUGAGCCCGCGUUAGAUUAGGCUGUUGGUGAGGUAAUGGCUCACCAAACCUGUAAUCUAUAGCUGGUCUGAGAGGACGAUCAGCCACACUGGGACUGAGACACGGCCCAGACUCCUACGGGAGGCAGCAGUGGGGAAUAUUGGACAAUGGGGGAAACCCUGAUCCAGCAAUGCCGCGUGAGUGAUGAAGGCCCUAGGGUUGUAAAACUCUUUCAGAAGUGAAGAUGAUGACGGUAACUUCAGAAGAAGCUCCGGCUAACUCCGUGCCAGCAGCCGCGGUAAUACGGAGGGAGCUAGCGUUGUUCGGAAUUACUGGGCGUAAAGAGCGUGUAGGCUGUUAGGUAAGUCAGAGGU
rnacentral:rRNA from 1 species